CAGUAGCCGCGGUAAUACGAAGGGUGCAAGCGUUAAUCGGAAUUACUGGGCGUAAAGCGCGCGUAGGUGGUUUGUUAAGUUGGAGGUGAAAUCCCCGGGCUCAACCUGGGAACUGCCUCCAAAACUGGCUGACUAGAGUACGGUAGAGGGUGGUGGAAUUUCCUGUGUAGCGGUGAAAUGCGUAGAUAUAGGAAGGAACACCAGUGGCGAAGGCGACCACCUGGACUGAUACUGACACUGAGGUGCGAAAGCGUGGGGAGCAAACAGGAUUAGAUACCCGCGUAGUCCCUGUCUCUUAUAC
rnacentral:rRNA from 1 species